UACGGAGAGUGCAAACGGGGUCUGGAAACAGUGGGUUUAAAGGGUAUGUAGGCGGCUAAAUAAGUCAGAGGUGAAAGCAUGUAGCUUAACUGCGAAAUUGCCUUUGAUACUGUAUAGCUUGAAAGGAGCUGAGGACAGAAGAAUGUGGCAUGUAGCGGUGAAAUGCAUAGAUAUGCCAUAGAAUACCAAUUGCGAAGGCAGCUGGCAGCGCUUACUUUGACGCUGAGGCACGAAAGCGUGGAAAUCGAAUGGG
rnacentral:rRNA from 1 species